AGCAGUGUGUACAUGUCAAUCCCAACUCCCAUAGUGAAACUGAAUACUUUUUCAUGUGGCCAUUUUAACAUCUUCUUUGCAAAUUGCCUGUUAAUGUUUUUGAAAACCCACAUAUUUGGGGGGCCAAUAUACGUACCCCUCUCUACUUCAUGGACUAUUGUAAGAAUUAGUUGAAAUAACCUAUUUGAAUAUGUUUGAACAGCAAUACACAAAUGUGUUGACCACGUUUAUGACCUGUAGGGUGAGGGUCAGAAGGAAUGGCCAUCUGGAGACAAACAGGCUGAGUCAGUGGUACCCAUGGAAGGCUUGGGCAGCUCUGCCUGAUGACGUACGGGGAGAGGCACCUGUGAGAAAGGGAAAGGGGCCUUGACCUAGAGAUUUGUUGCUGAGAGAAGGCCACCGGAAAUAGACAAGGUCAGUGAAUACAGGGGCUGGCAGCUCAAAAUGUUGUUUCAGUUGUUACAACUAGUAUAGGGUCCUUCUCUAAUUUGAAAAUGAUCCGAUAAAGAAAAAAACAAUUAAGACACUCCACCCUGCAGCAGGUCUGGGCUGUCAUGGGUGCCCGUGCUGACUUGGACAGAGCAGCCCCAGGGAGCCCUUGAGAGUCAUACCUGGACCCUGCAGGACGCCGAGCUCACGGCCAUCUCGCACUCAGAUGAUGGGGAAGCCGUGCCUCCUUGGCAAGCAGGACCUUGUGAACAGGUAAGACAUUUCCCUGGCUGGAAGUAAACACAGGUUGUCCUUCCAGAUCCAGUGUGCAUCACUGGCUGGCAGGGAGAAGGCAGGGCUUAAGGGCAGUGGGAAGAACUUGAGUUUGUGCAGGAGGAGAAAUGAGAGCUUUUCUUCUUCAGUUCAAGGGUUGCCACUGUAGCUGAUUAUGCAAAGUAUCUGACGGGGGUUUUAUGUUAUUUUACACCAGGUAGAGCUGCUUUGAGGCAGCACUGUUUCCUAGGACAGGGACUGUGCUAGGGCCUGGGGACAAAGUUGGGGACAGAUUGUGCUAAUCUCUGGCUUUCCGGAGUCUCAGCUGGGUUGGGGACGUGGACGGUACACGAGGGACCAAGCAAACAGGGAGAGUGUGGUCCAUGGCAAUGAUGCUCCAAAGGAAAUGGAAAUGGGCAAGGAUAAGGGCUGGGCCAUUUUGGAUUUGGAGGCAAUGCAAGGUCUUUCUGGGGAGAGCACAUUUAAACCAAAUUAAGAAUGAGGAGACGGGCCAGCAGGUGAAGAAAGGCAGACCCAGGAGGGAGGAGGCAUCUCAGCAGUUCCACAGAGUGACAGCAGAGCAGUGAGCUGGUCAGGAUGAGGUCUGAGAGGCCAGCAGGCAUCAGAUCACACCUGGCUUCAUUCGUGCUUCAUGUUUAGAAGUUUGAUUUUACCCUAAGCGCAAAGGCAAGGUAAAGAGUGCUUAGAAAUCCAACAUCAUAACGCCUUGCUGAAGCCUCAACUCAGCGUGUGUAAAGAUUUGUUGAGUGAGCUCAAAAUAAAUAAACAAAUUGAUGUUCUGUGCUUGGAAAACAUCCUGUUUUAUUUUAUUCUAUUUUUAAACUUUGGUUUUGGCUUCUAUUACAUGAAAAAUCACUCCCAUUUAGAUUUAUUUUUGUUAAAAGGCCAAGCUUACAGGGAUGAGAAUAAAACGUCUGAUGCUGAGAAACGUGCCUGAAAUGAAAGGAAAGGUUGAUGAGGCAGAUCUCCACAGCCUUGAUCAUGUGGAGCGCUUUCAGAAACCAUCACCCAUUGUGCAGGUGAGAAGGCAGCUCAGAGACGUGAAGAAAGGUUUGGCAAGGCCACAUCCUUGUGUGAGGUCCCGGGAACGUGUGUCUCUGCUCUGGUGAACUUUCCGUGAGCCCAGGGCAAAUGGUGGCCACCAUGGCCUCAUGGAGUUGCUUGGGCUCCUUUCUGUGGCCUCUGGGACUCUUGCUGUAGGAGUUUGUAGAAACAGGAAGGAUAUAGGAUGGUCAUGGGGGUUCUCAUUACUCCGUGGGGCACUGGAGGCCCGUGUCUGCUCAUCAGGUAGACUAGAGACUCGGCCCCCUAACCUCCCUUUCUGACCACCGAGUGUCCACCUCUGAGACCUAAUCAGGGCUCCCACAUCUUGAGGUUGGCGAGGCGCCCAAGGAGAUCAGUGGAAUUCCACCUUUCUCCUCCCAUCCCAACACUUAAAAAUAUGGGCUGUGAUGAUUUUGGACGUGCCACCUCUACACGUUGGAUCCCCUGUCCUCCUGGAGCCCUUGCCGGUCCUCCUCGUCUUCCUUGAACUUGUCUCCAAGGGAGUCUGCUGUGAUCACUAACAUCACCCCUAUUAUCUGAGGUCCACUGAGGUGUGUCAGGGCUUUGGGACAAACACGUGGCACUCAGCCCAGCUACUGUAGAUCUGCAGCCACCUUGGGUUUCGCCUUUCCUGGCCGGAUCCUACUGGGAACUCUUUGGGGCAAAACAUUUCUUUUGCAAUUUAAUUGUCAGCGGGUGGGAUACAGUAUUCCCUGCCUGAGCUUGAAUUGAAGGAACCCCUAAUCUUCGAGUUCCAGCUCUUGAGAAGAAUGGCAGCUGCUGGAAGAUGUGAACUUGACAUUUGAAAUUGGCUGACACCUGGGAGUUAGUGUGAGGUAGAAAAACAAACAAGGGCUGUGGGGUUGGGUAGAUGUAGGUUCCAGACCAGCUCUGCGCUUCCUGUCGUGCGGCUCCAGAGUAACAACUUGUACGAUCUCUGUGAGGCCUAUUUUUCCAUCUUUAGAAUGGGGGUAGUAUAGUCUACCGCAUAAUAUUUCGGUGAGGAUGAAAAGAAGAGAAUGAAAAUAUCUGUCACACAAGACAUGCUUAAGAGACAUUAGCUCUUAUGUUCCUUUGCCCUCAAUAAUGUCAUGACUCCUUCCAAAAACAGAAAUCCUUCAGGAUAGAAUCCUACCCAUUUUUUGGCUGAUGGGACAUCCGAAAGGACAUAGGUGCCUUUGUUUGGUUUGUGGUAAGUUGACUUUGCACUUUAAAAGGGAAAAAAGGGAAAUGUGUAGUCCCUCAAACAAUGACCCCUUUUAAAGCCUACGUUGGACUCCGAUUUCAAAGAAUAUUCUUAUUAACAUAGUUCCUUACAAAUGGAGUGCCACUCAUCAAAUAUUUAUAAAGAGUAGCCUGAGAAGCCAGUGUAGCGCUUGGCAAGCCUGGGGACAUUUCCCACAUGCUCUGUGGGACGGCGUAGGUAGGGGACACCCUUUAAUUUUGUGACAUGAUUUGGGGGCUCCAGCGCAAGCUGGUCUUGGCAUGGUUUCUCCCAGUUCAGGGCCCGUUCAGGCUUCGCAGGCAACUCCCUUUGAAGUCCAUGGGAGCUCUUUGAAUGGAAAACAUACACAACGGGGUGCUGACGCAAAUAGGAAUCAGGCCUGAUGUACGUGGGGAGUAAAGGUGCUUCUCCACCCAAAUAUUAGCUCUUUAGCUAGGAAACUAUGGUUUGAUCAUUAAAUAAAAGAGCCCCUCCCUGCCCCCCAAACCUCACAAUCUACCACCAGAGCUCCACCAUCCAUUUGCUCAGGAAAUGAUAAACCUGCUGGUUACCUGAGAGUUUUAAUUAAGCAACAGAUACAGACAGUGCAGGGCUCAUUUUGCUUUAAACAUAUCAAUAAAAUAAGCAUUCUCAAUUCCAGGGCAACUUGCUCAAUGAUAAAAAAAACUAAGCAUCACUAUCUUUUGAAAUAUCACUCAUCAAGUGUGAUCAUUUAGAAAAAUAUCUCUAUUAGAGACAGUUAGACUUGUUUUUUAGUUGAAAAUGCAGUCGCCGAUGGAGUGCGAAGCUGCAAUUUGUAGACAGGUUAAGUAAAUUAAAUCACUCACUGUCUUUUUUGUUUUUUUUCUUUUCUUUUUCCUUUUCCAAUGGCUUUAAAAGUUAAAGGUAAUUUGCAAAGAAAAUGCUCGGUUGAAUUGGUUUGUAAUAUCUGUUAAUGAUCUUUAAAAAAAUCCACUUAUUCACAAUCCUGUCCCUGAGGGAAUAGCAGUGUGCUAUCAGAAAAAUUUCUAAAGUCUGAAAUGUCAUUAGCUAGUGAUUUCUUUGAAGUAAAAAGCCCUGAAAAAAUAAAUUAUAUAAGGUAUACAAGUGCGCAGGACAAUCACUUUGAUGAAUAAUAUCUGUGUUUUUCAUGCGGCAAAAUACAACAAUUGAGAUUCAAGCUGCUAAAUUACAGAGCCGUCUUUUGAGUUACGUCCACGUAGGCGUACCUGCUCUGUUUAUUUCACAUGUAUAAGGAGUUCUUCCAUAUAUUUAUAGAUUGUCGAUGUAAAAACAGUAGUGUUAGGAACCAUUUUGAUUAUAUUCCUUGUGUUUACCUUUUGGAAAUACAAGGUGUUGCCUAAAUAUAGGCCUACAGGUGUUCCAUCCAGGAGGAAAAACAAUGGCCUGUUUCAGUGCAGCAGCCUGGAUCCCAGAGCCAGGUGCCGGGAACGGAGGUGCAAACACCAGGCAGCGCCUGGAUGGUUCACUAUUAGAUAACAGAGCUGUGAAAUACUACACCAAAGGGAAAAUGUCCUUCCUGACCCCAGCUGGCUAUCGGUUUUUGCCGGGAAGCAGGGGAGUCUUUGUAAUAAAAUAUUAGUCGGUGUAACUGCUGAUGCUGUUUCAGCCGCUAUAAAUAGCUAAUCUUUUUUUUUUUUUUGAGGGAGGAGUUGGAUUUUACUAAACCAUUGGCUAGAGGUUAAUUAUACAUUUCAUAAGAAAGUAUUUCCUUGCAGCCAGCCUAAAUUUGUUACCUUUUAAUCCUGCUUUACAUAAGAAGGCUGGAAAUAUAGGAGUCUCCCCGAGGUCCUUCAUUAUUGCCAUUAUUUUAUACAUUAGGUCUUUAAUUAUUUUUCCUCAUACAUUCCUUACCUCUUCGCUAAACUGCAGAGGGUCCCAGUUUUAUUCAUUUUUCCUCAAGAAAAGACAUUCUCUUCUUCCCAGCCCAGCUGGCCUCUAAUCACACGUGUGGUUCUUCCCAUUUCCUGCUCAGUAGCUGACAUCAAGAGAGCAAACUGAACCCAGUGAGUCACAACCCUGCUGACUGAAUUUGGAGGUGGGUGUAUCUGACCCUGCAAGUCAUCCUUGAAGCUGUGCUACUUCUCUGAUAUUCCCUGGACCCAGGACGCUCUUGUUUUCAGAACCGCAAUUUGUUUCAGCACAGAAAGCAUAUGCAUUGCAGGACUUAACACUGAUACAGAUAACACUUUUCCUCUCUAAGAAAUUUAAAGGAGAGCUUGUGGAAAAGCUCAUGUGCUGUCUCUUCAGUGGAGAGUUCAAUCCAGGAACAGGAUGUGAUUAAGGAUAUUGAGAUGGAGAGUUACCUUGGAUUAUCUGGGCAAAGCACUCCCCGUUUCUUCACCUCUGGAGCUGUGGAGGAGUAUUCUUCUGGGGACUAGAGGCCACACCCAUCCCUUCUCUGGGCAUGUCAUCUCCCUCUGUCUCAUGGGGAAACUCACACCAUGCACUGGAGCUUCAGUUUUAUGCAGAAUUGAGGCCCGUCGGUGAUGCCGAAAGGUCAGUGCCAGUCAGCCAUGCCAGCCUGGGGAGCAUUCUCAGCCAACCUGUCCUCCGACCAACCUUCCUCCUCAAAACAACCAACCAGCCAAACCCACUUCUGGAGCAUCUUCUGGCCUGCAGGUGGGCAUGUUCCCUCUUCUUGUCUCUUAGCGGGAAGCCCUGAUUUGGCUUCUGUUCCCGGUCCAAUCCAAGUCCCAGCAUCGUUGGCGAGAGGAAGAGCCAUUGCCAUGGACUAAAAGGCCAGUGUGCACGGGCAUCCCCCCACCACCUCUCACAGAUGGAGCAGCCCCGCAAGGCAGACAUCAUAGCCUUCAGUUUACAGAUGCGCGGUACCCUGCAGGACAGCGGGACGAUGAUAGGGAGAUAAUCUGGAUCUCUUCGUCACCAUGUGAAAUGGAGCAUCCUGCCAGCCUGGACCGUCCACUCCGGAGAGUUAUGCGAAAGAGAAAGCAAUUCGAUCUUAGGAGUGAUAUCAGGAUCUGAAACAGUCCAAGUGAAGUAUAUUGCGAGACUCCUUUUGUUGGGUUCGUGUUUGCAUAUCUGAACAAUCUAAUGAGAAAGGAAGUCCAGGUUUUAGCUUUUGCACAUCAGGAAAUGGUUACGUGCCCCAGCCUGGCCUUGCAGACGGGCUGAGGGGGGAACCCUCCUUUCUCCCCUCCCCCUUUCCAUCUCUCACCCUGAAGUCAUCUCCGAGGACUUGGGGUACGCUUGACCACCCUGGAGAAUGGCCAGCGGUCACCACAGCUGCUCCCGGGCAUCGGCCUUGGAGCCAGGCUCUCCUGGGGACAGGAGAGGGAAGAGGGAAGCAGGGGUCAAACACAGCUGCAUUUCCUGGGGCAAGGUUUCCCUGUGUGAGCUCUGGGAGAGGCCUGGAGAGCCAUGUCACGUGUGCCGGCUCAGAGCCCAAGCUGGGCUGAGCUGAGUCCCAGGCUGGGAAUUCUCAGUUUACAAGUCUUCCUUUCUGUCCUGUGGAAACAGAUAGGGAAGGUUAAUGAGAUGAACAUGGCCAAACACUGCUGGCUUCUGAGAAGGAAAAGAGCCUGUUACGCGCUCCUGCAAACACAAGCCCUCUAGAUGGGGACAGCUUCUUACUGAGCUCUCCUCCAGGAAGACUUGAUUGUUUUCAUCAGACAAUUCAAAAGUAGCAUGUAUGCAGGGCUAGUCACUCAGCCGUACAUGCCUGCUGAGUCAGGAAUCAAGAAAACAUCCUAUUUUGCUUCUGACCUUUGCAGCAGCUUUGCCCAACACCUGCCACCUUUCCAAAUACGCAGGGAUUAAUAUCUGGAAAGGAUAGGUCUUUUUAUUCAAAAAAGAAGUUGGGUCUGUGAUGAACUGUGAUAAAAUGAAGAACUAGUUAAGGACCAAAGCCAAACAGUAUAUGGAACGGAAAGAUGAGAUACCUCUUUGGUUGGAGAUUUUCUGAAGAAAAUAUUCCAGAGAAAAGGGCAGAUGGAAAUGUAUGUGUGUGUGUGUGUGUGUGUGUGUGUGUGUGUGUUUAAUGAGUAGUUAAAAAAAAUGAACUCUAAGUGGGAAGAAGAGAAGAAAGAAGAAAUUUGGGUGCAUCUAUAAAAUCGCCACAAUUUAUGAGAGUUUAAAAAGACAAUUUCUUUUUAAGGAGCCAAUUCCUAAUUUCCCACAUAAAAGUAUGGGAAUUGAAUGGUAAAUCCUUCUCGGCCGACAAGACCCCUGAAAAGGGUUGGGAGAAAGAGUUACUGUUCCGUUUCCAUUCAUGUGUCUUGAAAGCCCGUGGCUGCGAAACUGCCCGGGACAGCAGAGGCCUGGGUUUCAAAGCUGCCCGAUGACUUUUCAGAGCUGAUCUAUUGUGGGGCUUUGUUUCGUCUGGGUCGCCCUCGUUUUGUUCUGCUCGGGCUGUAUCACUCUUCUGCCGCUGCUAUUAAUCCACCCUGUCUACUCCUCUCCAUUCAGAGGCACAUUUUAACCCUGCCCCGCACAGGGCGCAGCAUGAAAGGCUGAAAGGCUGAGCAUCACUGCGGGGAGACUGAGAGGGAGGGGAGGGGAGGGGAGUGUGGGGUCCUGGGUGCACAGGCUCACCUGGGUGGCUGGGUGUCCAGGAAGCAAAGAGCAAGGGAGCAAGUGGUGUGAACCAGCUCUGUCCAUCUGCUGGGAGUCGGGCAAGCUGGAACAAACCCUUUUUCUCACACGGUCACCGUCUGGCUGAGCUGCCUGCUCAGGCACCGCGAACUCAAGCUCCUGGAGCCUGCAAACGAGCCGGCCCUUGUUUUUCAGCUUUGAUUCGAUUUCCUUGCUUGUUUUUAAUAGGCUCCUUAUAGCUCAAGUGUUGUCAGACUGGGAUAAAGUGGCAAAAGAUACAGUGAUUUGUGUAAAAAAAGAAAAUUAAAUCAGAAAACUGUUGUUUGGUUAGUAACUCAAAUUCAGUUCCUGUCCUUAUGCCUUCCCAGAAAUCCUAUUAUUUUCAAUUAUAUUCCAAAUAGAGAAGAUGCUUCUCUGUCCUCCGCAUCACUCACUUUCAAUGGUGCAAGGGAACCAUCCGGAAGGCCCAAAGGGUCCCGAGAGAUGUUGGGUUAUAAAGUGGUAACAAACGUUCCCCAAGUGCCUGUGGCUCCACGUCAUCUGUGGUUCUCACGACACAGCCAGUGGGGGUCCCUCAUGGUGGUUCAGGGACCCCUAAUAAUGGAGGGCUGUUGUCCACAUGGGUACCCACGAGCCCCGUGGACGAAAGAAGGGACCUCUCAGGGCUCUCACCUUGGCGAUGAGAUCUCCAGCUUGAAAACACUUCCACAACAGCUAGCCCAGCGGUCACACCCAUCUGCCGGGCUGGGGAUCUCUAUCUCCGGGUCUAGGAGGAGGAACAGGUGAAAUAGGCAUCCCUCCAGGACACCGUGCACACGCUCUCAGGGACAAGCAGAGGGCUGCAUGGAAAGACAGGGCAGCAAAGUAUUUUCAAAACUUUAACUGAACGGUGAAAGUCAAGGAUUACAUGGUUUGAACGUAAUAUGCUUAGUCGCACAUUUGCCCUCCCCAGCCAUUUGGGUUGCGUGGCCUCAGGCAAAUCAUUAACCCAUGGGACAUCCACAUCAUUGCAGAUACGGAGGCUCAGUGGGUCUGGAUCAGUGGUUCCCAAACCUGAGUGGGCUUUAGAUCGGGGAGGACUUAUUAAAGCUUUAGCUGUAGGACCUCAGCCCUAGUAUCUCUGAUUCAGCAGG